ACGAACGCUGGCGGCGUGCCUAAUACAUGCAAGUCGAACGAGAGCGACCGGUGCUUGCACUGGUCAAUCUAGUGGCGAACGGGUGAGUAACACGUGGGUAACCUGCCCAUCAGAGGGGGAUAACAUCCGGAAACGGAUGCUAAAACCGCAUAGGUCUUCGAACCGCAUGGUUUGAAGAGGAAAAGAGGCGCAAGCUUCUGCUGAUGGAUGGACCCGCGGUGCAUUAGCUAGUUGGUGAGGUAACGGCUCACCAAGGCCGUGAUGCAUAGCCGACCUGAGAGGGUGAUCGGCCACAUUGGGACUGAGACACGGCCCAAACUCCUACGGGAGGCAGCAGUAGGGAAUCUUCCGCAAUGGACGCAAGUCUGACGGAGCAACGCCGCGUGAGUGAAGAAGGUUUUCGGAUCGUAAAACUCUGUCGUUAGAGAAGAACAAGUGCUAGAGUAACUGUUAGCGCCUUGACGGUAUCUAACCAGAAAGCCACGGCUAACUACGUG
rnacentral:rRNA from 1 species